UGAAAUGAAGAGAACCCCUUAUUCUCUGUGU
rnacentral:piRNA from 1 species